UUUGAAAGUGUCAACUGUCAAAUUAAUCUAAAUAACACGAUAUAAAUAAAGUUGUUUUUCUGUUUUUUAAUACGGUUUACACCUUUUACGAUACUUAAAUAUAUAAAUAACGAUGUCCGCAAACAGCCAACGGUCAAAUAAGGACCAUACUGCUAACUUCGCCAAAAAAGAAACUGCCAAACUGGUGAUGCUUCUCAAGGAUUACACAGUCGUAACCUGCAAACAACUGAUCACUGCAGCAAUCUACAAAAAGAUGCAGCUUGGAAAUCUCUGUGACGUUUUCAACUCAGAUGGGUCUAGACACCGAAGUGUUAAAUUUAAUAUACAUUUAAUGAAGGUGUAGGCACAUUUUUAUAUUUAUUCUUGUAUAGCUGUGUCCUACAACAAAAAGAAAUUUUUUUUUAACCCUUUGAAAACAAGGAAGCGGAUUAUGAUCCACACGGAUAAAAAAAAUUGAGUUUUUGAAACAAAGACAAAUAAGAGAGGAUGAUUUGUUCAAUUAUGCUAAGGAAGAGCAUCAAAAACAUUUGCUGCACCAAUGAGAGGCCCACCAAAAUGCAUACUGCAUAAAGAGGAGGUGCACCAAAAAGUGAUGCAGCAGAUGGAAGAAAGGCACAAUAAGUAUAUGUAGCAGCAAAAAGAGUUGCAUCAAAUUGAGGUGAAAUGCAA